AGGCAAACCUUCAGACACUCAACAGGAAAUGGCUGGGCUGUAGGCAAUAUGAAUCCAAUAAGAUGUUCAAAGAAGCAGGAGGAGCUGUUGAAGUCCUCUGCGCUCUCUCAGCCAUCAGUAACCCAGACAGGGCGAUCGCUGCCCCCAACUUUUAGCAGUCUGUGGUCCCAUACAGAGCCCACCACCUCUGCUAGCUCCGGAAAACAGAUUGGUGUGUUUCUUUUUAAAAACCAUCUCUCCGGAACCGCCUGAGCUAGGAGAGGGCGAGGCUCACCCUUCGGCUGAGCACUGAGCACAGCCUACGCGGGCUGAGCCCACGCCGGUCAGCGGAGAGAGCAGUGUGGAGCUGUCUGCUCUUCUACCCCACCAAAGGCCGGAACCCGGGUGCUCGGGCACCAUGGCUGGGAGCGCACUGAGAGCUUUACCUGAUUUUCGCUGAGCGGUUCGGAGUGACACGGCGUUGAGUGGGAGGCUGCAGGCCAGGAGCAAGAAACGGAGCAAGAAGGCCUCACCUUUGAGUCAUAUUUGAUUUCUGAGGGCAUCUGCAUACUCUGGGUCCUGGGGCCACAGACAUGAAACUUUCUUCAUGGAGACUGUCACAAAUGUGAAGGGAGCUUUAGAAGGAACCCACUCCUCUCCUUUGCAAUUAAAAUCACCUUCCCUCAAGGCUCGCUCUCCUUGCAGUCUGACAACCAGCUCAUGGAUCAUGUAAAUCCAGAGACAAAGCUGAGUCUACCCCAGGCUGAAACCCCAGAAGGCAUGGAGAUGGUAAACAAGAUCCAAGGUCAAGACAAAGAACCAAAUCGCUUGUUUCCUACAUGCACAUGGAAUCAUGAUGAACCAAAGAUUGAAUCUUGGGACAAUGAAAGACCUUUCAAAAUCGUAAUGGGAUAAUAGGAAAUCAAAGCAAGGAAAGAAGGGGAUAGCAGAAGAUGCAAAUAGAUGGCUCCACAUCAGGAGUUCAAAGUCACUAGGGGACU